AGUGAACGCUGGCGGCAGGCCUAACACAUGCAAGUCGAACGGCAGCAUCGUAUGUGCUUGCUCUUACGUGUGUCGCGUGUCGGACGGGUGCGGUAUAUUCCGGAUUCUACUUUUUAGUGGGUGCUAACGUCGGGUAACUUCCUCUAAUACAGCAUUCGUCCUCCUUGUGUAAGCCGGCGUUCUUUUGACUUUUUGCGAUUGUAUGAGCCGAUGUCGGAUUAGCUCGUUGGCGGGGUAAAGGCCCACCAAGGCGACUAUGCGUAGCUGGUCUGAGAGGAGCAUCAGACAGACUGGAACUGAGGCACGGUCCAGACACCUACGGGAGGCAGCAGUGGAGAAUAUUGGACGAUGGACGCAAGCCGGAUCCAGGCAUACCGGGUGAAUGAAGAAGGCCGUCGGGUUGUAAAGCCAUUUAGGGGGGAAAGAAGAGAAGCAGGUUAAUACGCCGCGGUUCUGACGGUACCCAAAGAAUAAGCACCGGCUAACUUCGUG
rnacentral:rRNA from 1 species